ensembl:lncRNA
GUAUUAGUGGAGUAGUGGUUGUAACGUAUUAGUGGAGUAGUGGUUGUAACGUAUUAGUGGAGUAGUGGUUGUAACGUAUUAGUGGAGUAGUGGUUGUAACGUAUUAGAGGAGUAGUGGUUGUAACGUAUUAGUGGAGUAGUGGUUGUAACGUAUUAGAGGAGUAGUGGUUGUAACGUAUUAGAGGAGUGGUGGUUGUAACGUAUUAGAUGAGGCUGUAUUAGUGGAGUAGUGGUUGUAACGUAUUAGUGGAGUAGUGGUUGUAACGUAUUAGUGGAGUAGUGGUUGUAACGUAUUAGUGGAGUAGUGGUUGUAACGUAUUAUGGAGUAGUGGUUGUAACGUAUUAGUGGAGUAGUGGUUGUAAUGCAUUAGCGGAGUAGUGGUUGUAAUGCAUUAGAUGAAGCUGUAUUAGUGGAGUUGUGGUUGUAACUAUUAGUGGAGUAGUGGUUGUAACUAUUAGUGGAGUAGUGGUUGUAACGUAU